rnacentral:rRNA from 1 species
UACGAAGGGGGCUAGCGUUGUUCGGAAUUACUGGGCGUAAAGCGCACGUAGGCGGAUAUUUAAGUCAGGGGUGAAAUCCCGGGGCUCAACCCCGGAACUGCCUUUGAUACUGGGUAUCUGGAGUAUGGAAGAGGUGAGUGGAAUUCCGAGUGUAGAGGUGAAAUUCGUAGAUAUUCGGAGGAACACCAGUGGCGAAGGCGGCUCACUGGUCCGGUUCUGACGCUGAGGCGCGAAAGCGUGGGGAGCAAACGGG